GAUGAACGCUGGCGGCGUGCCUAAUACAUGCAAGUCGAGCGAAUGGAUUAAGAGCUUGCUCUUAUGAAGUUAGCGGCGGACGGGUGAGUAACACGUGGGUAACCUGCCCAUAAGACUGGGAUAACUCCGGGAAACCGGGGCUAAUACCGGAUAACAUUUUGAACCGCAUGGUUCGAAAUUGAAAGGCGGCUUCGGCUGUCACUUAUGGAUGGACCCGCGUCGCGUUAGCGAGUUGGUGAGGUAACGGCUCACCAAGGCAACGAUGCGUAGCCGACCUGAGAGGGUGAUCCGCCACCAUGGGACAGAGAAACGGCCCAGACUCCUACGGGGAGAAGCAGUAGGGAAUCUUCCGCAAUAGACGAAAGUCUGACGGAGCAACGCCGCGUGAGUGGUGGAGGCUUUCGGGUCGUAAAACUCUGUUGUUAGGGAAGAACAAGUGCUAGUUGAAUAAGCUGGCACCUUGACGGUACCUAACCAGAAAGCCACGGCUAACUACGUGCCAGCCGCCGCGGUAA
rnacentral:rRNA from 1 species